UUCAGUUACUGUCAUAUUUCUGAGAUUCACUUUCAAUCGCACAGUUUCAUAGUCAACUAGAUUCACUUUUACAUAAUGUCAUAAUCACCAUAUUCAUUUUCACAAACUGUUAUAUUCAUUAGAUUCACUUUCACAUAUUGUCAUAUUCACCAGAUUCAUUUUCUCAUACUGUCAUAAGUUAUCAAAUUAAUUUUUACAUACUGUCAUAUUCACCAGGUUCACUUUUACAUUCUGUCAUAAGUCAUUAGGUUAACUUUCACAUACUGUCAUAUUUACCAGAUUUUCUUUCACAUAAUGUCAAAAUCAGAUUUGCUUUCACAUACUGUCAUACUCAUAUUCACCACAUUGGCUUUCACAUAUUGUCAUAUUUACCAGAUUUGCUUUCACAUAGUAUUUUUUUAUUCAUAUGAUUCACUUUCUCAUACUGUUGUAAGUCAUCAAAUUCACUUUUCAUAUACUGUCAUAUUCACCAGAUUCAAUAUAGUACAUACUCACAUAUUCACCAGGUUUGCUUUCACAUAUUGUCAUAUUCACCGGAUUCACUUUCACAUACUAGUCAUAUUCACCAGAUUUGUUUGUUUCUGUGUUUGUAUGUUUUUAUGUUGCAUGGAACCAGUGGUUAUUCAGCAACGGGACCAACGGCUUUAUGUGACUUCUGAACCAUGUCGAGAGUGAACUUCUAUCACCAGAAAUAUACAUCUCCAACACCUCAAUGGGAUGCCCGAGAAUUGAACUCGUGGCCACCGAGGUGGCAGGCCCAGACCAAACCGAUCACGCCACUAAGGCUAUUCACCAGAUUUGCUUUCAUAUUGUGUCAUAUUCACCAGAUUCACUCUCACAGAUAGUGUUAGAUUCGCCAGAUUUGGUUUCACAUAUUUUUGUAUUCACCAGAUUUGCUUUCACUUACUUUCAUAUUCACCAGAUGUGCUUUCCUAUAGUGUCAUAUAUUCACUGGAUUUUCUUUCACAUGUUGCAUAGCCAUAUUCAUCAGAUUCAGUGUCAUUUGUGUCAUAUUCACUGCAUUCUUGUAUUUCAUUGUCUUACAGAAAGUCCUGAACGUUCUCUGCAGCGUGUUGGAAGAAUGGGAGACAGCAAAGGUGUUGUGUCAUUAUGGCAAGCAAGUUAUAGAUGCUAGUUUUGCCUCUUCCACUCUUGGAAUGCUAAAGGAUAAAGGAAGUACAAAGGAAAAAGUACCAAAAUCCAAAGUAAAGUUAUUGAAAGAAACACCAGAGAAAAGAAACACUGAUAAAAAGGUGACUCUGAAACUGCAGGAGCUGAAGAAGGAACCUAAGGAACAGACUCCUUAUACUAACCAGCUUCAGAGAAGUUGGUCAUUGACGUCUGCAGGUAAGAGUGAUUUUACAGAGGAAACUUCUUUUUCUUCUCAAAAACAAUUUGAAACCAUAGGCUUCUUGUCACAAAUAGCUUGGAGUUUUUCACUUUGGUUUACCUUGAAGAUUUAGAUGUGUAUAUGUUGCAGAUAGGAGUUUUGCAUGUUCUUUUAUCUUGAAGAUUUAGAGAUUUUCCCUAUACUAUAUAUUUGAUGUAUAUCAGUAAUAGAUGUGUGUCCUAUGUAGUUUUAUCAUGAAGAUUUAAAUAUUUAUUAUACAUGUAUAUAUAUAAUAAUAUUUAUAAAUUUAUUUGAAGACCUUUUCCUACA